rnacentral:rRNA from 1 species
UACAGAGGGGGCAAGCGUUUAUUCGGAAUUAUUGGGCGUAAAGGGCGCGUAGGCGGCUUUUCAAGUGGCGGGUGAAAGCCCUCGGCUUAACCGAGGAACUGCCUGCCAGACUGAAUGGCUUGAGACCGGGAGAGGUGAGUGGAAUUCCCAGUGUAGCGGUGAAAUGCGUAGAUAUUGGGAGGAACACCAGUGGCGAAGGCGGCUCACUGGACCGGUACUGACGCUGAGGCGCGAAAGCGUGGGGGAGCAAACAGG